ensembl:snRNA U4 U4 spliceosomal RNA
AGCUUUGUACAGUGGCAGUAUCAUAGCCAAUGAGGUUUAUCUGAAGCACGAUUAUUACUAAUUGAAAACAGAAUGUGCAUAAAUAAGAAGUCAGUUAUUCCUCCAGGAAGAUCUCCCAAGGAAUCAAGGGUAGCCUUAUCUUUGAAAUACCUCCGCAGUCAUCUGUGGGGU